GCUGCCCUCUUGCCGUGUUCAUGCUUUGGUAGAACACCUUCAGAGCCUUGGCAAGCUCUCGGUCAGAGCCGGCUUGCUCUGUGCACAUUUGGCUCAUCUCCCUGGCGGAUGGCAGUUGCGCAGUCAUCCCACUGAUCUUCAGAGUGUUGGAAGGCUUCUGGGCUGAGGUGGAAAAAGUUUCAUGCAGUAGGCCAGCGACUGGAGCCAGAUGUGAGCUGAGCCCAAGCGGACGACCUCGACAGGAUCCCAGAAAGGGUCAUCUUCUUGAGCCACAAAGCCGUUAUCUCCAUCUAGAAAGCACUGGGGUUCACCAGUGCGCAGCAGAUACAGGAAAACAGCCUGCCGCUGUCUUCCUCCUCACUGGGUGAGAACAGGG
rnacentral:lncRNA from 1 species